CAAACUUCAGAAGGUCCUAUUGUAAGCCCCUGUAGUAGGGAGUCUGGCUUUUACUCUGAGCAAACCGGGAAGCCACUGGAGGGUUUUGGACAGAGGAUAGACCUGGUCAGAUGUACAUUUUAAGUGGAUUGCCUGUCGAUAGGUUGAAAAUAGACUCUAAGAGAACAGAGGUAGACUCAGAAAGAACAUUCAGAAGGCUGUUUCAUUGAUCCAGGAGAGUGAAGGUGGUGCUUUGAACCAGAGUGAUAAGAAACAAUUACAUGAUGGAUAUUUUGAAGGUGGAAUCAACAGGAGUUGUAACUGGAUUAGAUGUGGAAUGGGAGAAAAAGAGUCAAGGGUGACUUCAAUUUGGGGGCCUGAGGCCCUGAGAGGAUGGAUUUCCCUUUUCUGAGGAGGAGGAGGAGGCUAUGAGAGGAACUGCUUUUAGAGAGAACACAGGAAGUUCAGCUUUGGGUAUGUUGAGUCUGAGAUGCCCUCCGUGAUCCAAACGAAGAUAUCAAUGGGGGUCCUCACAUGUGGAGGCUGACUGUAGGCAUUGCUCUACACCAUUUUACAUAAGGGAGUGGAGCACCCAUGGAGUCUGUGAUCUGCAAGGGUCCUGGAACAAAUUCCAUGUGGAUACCAAGGGACAACCAAGUUUGGGCAGAGUCAAAAGUUGUAUGAUGCUGUGCAGGGAUAGGGGUUUCCUUGGCUGCAGAAUUUCCUGUCCUCUGUACCUCAAGCUCAGUGUGAUAAUCAAGACUUUAAAGAAAGCACGUAAAAUGUCAUUCUCUUGCUCGCUUCAGCAGUUUGUAUUAAAGUAAACACUUUAUGCCCCAUACCCAAUAUUAAAACUUGGUUGUUAGUUCAACGUACCCUCACUUCCCCCUCAGGGCUAAAACACACAAUGGAAAUAGACUUGCAGAAAAAUAUCUGAAUGCAUGAUUGAGCAUGAUAAUCAGCAGCAAAAUAUACACUGGCCUACAAAUACCCACUGCUCCCAGAGAAUCCCUGAAAAUAAGAGACAAAACAAUGCACCUGAUAGAGCUGAAUUCUAUGUAUAUAUUUACUCAGUUCUCAGUUUCAAAAUCAUGCUUUAAAAUGAACUCUCUUUAAGAGUGGUCAAUUUUCUGGAUUGAAAGCAUUUCAGCAAAGGGUCUUCAAAUGCUAUGGUUUGAAAUUCCAUGAAUUAUAAUGGGAUCUAGACUGUUUGAAAUGGUUUACCUAAUGGAUUUUUAUUAUUAUUUUACAUUUGUUGAGAGCCAAAAAAACAAUGAACACAAACAAACAGAUUUGCAAUCUCAACUAUGCUUCUGUU